CAGUCGCCGCGGUAAUACGAAGGGGGCUAGCGUUGCUCGGAAUUACUGGGCGUAAAGGGAGCGUAGGCGGAUCGUUUAGUCAGGGGUGAAAUCCCGGGGCUCAACCUCGGAACUGCCUUUGAUACUGGCGAUCUUGAGUAUGGGAGAGGUGUGUGGAACUCCGAGUGUAGAGGUGAAAUUCGUAGAUAUUCGGAAGAACACCAGUGGCGAAGGCGACACACUGGCCCAUUGCUGACGCUGAGGCUCGAAAGCGUGGGGAGCAAACAGGAUUAGAUACCCGCGUAGUCCCUGUCUCUUAUAC
rnacentral:rRNA from 1 species